rnacentral:rRNA from 1 species
AUUGAACGCUGGCGGCAGGCUUAACACAUGCAAGUCGAGCGGGGGAAGGUAGCUUGCUACCGGACCUAGCGGCGGACGGGUGAGUAAUGCUUAGGAAUCUGCCUAUUAGUGGGGGACAACAUCCCGAAAGGGAUGCUAAUACCGCAUACGUCCUACGGGAGAAAGCAGGGGAUCUUCGGACCUUGCGCUAAUAGAUGAGCCUAAGUCGGAUUAGCUAGUUGGUGGGGUAAAGGCCUACCAAGGCGACGAUCUGUAGCGGGUCUGAGAGGAUGAUCCGCCACACUGGGACUGAGACACGGCCCAGACUCCUACGGGAGGCAGCAGUGGGGAAUAUUGGACAAUGGGGGGAACCCUGAUCCAGCCAUGCCGCGUGUGUGAAGAAGGCCUUAUGGUUGUAAAGCACUUUAAGCGAGGAGGAGGCUACUUUAGUUAAUACCCAGAGAUAGUGGACGUUACUCGCAGAAUAAGCACCGGCUAACUCUGUGCCAGCCGCCGCGGUAA